AACUUGUGUGAAUUGCAGAAUCCCGUGAACCAUCGAGUCUUUGAACGCAAGUUGCGCCCGAAGCCACUAGGCUGAGGGCACGUCUGCCUGGGUGUCA
rnacentral:rRNA from 1 species